CAAAGUCAGAGGCCUAACCAACCGAGCUACCCAGGCAUCCCUUGACUUUGGUUUUUUGUUUUUUGUUUAAUCUCUCCUGGAUUGAAUGACAAAUAUACCUGCUUGUCUACUAUUAACUUCUUUGACUAAUUUUUUUCUCUUUUCUAUCUGAUUCUCCCUUUUAAAAUUCUUUCCAAUGACUGUGAGUUCAUUUGGGACAUUUCCUCUUCCAAGGCCUGCAUAAUGACCUCACCUCCCUGGCAAUUUCUGGUCUCCAAAUUUACCGGUAUUUUAAUGGAAUGCUGAAAUUCUCUGCUCUUCUCUGGUUUCCAAGUUCUGGAGACUGGGAGGUCCAAGAUCAAGGAGCCAGCUGAUUCAUUUUUCUGAUGAAGACCAGCGUGACCUUAGAAACCACACAUUGAGACGGCAAGCAGCUAUCAGCCUGGAUCCCUGAAGGAUCAUGCAGACAAAUUUGCCCACCAAUCUGAACCAUCACUCAGACUGUUGUGAGAGAUAGAAAUGUCAUAUUAUUUUUCAGUGUCUUGUAACAGCAGAUUAAUGAGAAUUCCCCAAAAGAAAAUGAGUUUUGAGGCCAAAGCUAAGGUUAUGGUGUCCAACAGGCUCUUCUCCAACAUAGCAUGAUGAUAAAAUCAUAGACUAUGGGAUCAAGUUGCCUGGGUUUCAUACUGACUUCUCCACUUACCAGCUCCACCUUACAAGUAAACUGAGAAGAUUAGUCAACCUCUCUGGGCCUAUGUUUUCUCUUAUCUGAGGACAAAAGCAAUACUACCUCAGAGGGAUUAAAUGAGAUAAUGUAUGUGAAGAGCAUGGUAAGAGUUCCAGAAACAGUAGUGAUUAUGAUUUUCAUUCUAGGAAUUCUUCCUCUGUUGCCAGCUUCGGGGUACAAAAGUUGGAGUUUAUUAGAGACAUGGUGCAUUUCCUUAUAGGGCACAGAAUGAGCUUUGGUUCCUCCAAGUCAGUUAUAGGUGGAUACUGAAACCUAUUACUCUUCCAAAUCAGAGACAUUCUUACUUUUCAAAACUGAGGUAAAAUUUGCACCCAAUAAAAUGCACAAACCUUAAGUGUAUAGAUCAAUGGGCUCUGAAAAACACAUAUAUCAGUGUAAGUACCACCUGAAUGAUAAUAUAGAACAUUUCCAUCAUUCCAAAAAGAUCCCUCUGGUCUUUUCCAGUCAGUUCCACUCCCAGUGACAACCUCUAUCCCGAUUUCUAUCAUCACAGCUCAGUUUUGCCUGCUCCAGAAUUUUAUAUAAAUAGAAUCAUACAGUGUCUGGCUUCUUUCACUCAAUUUCAUGUUUUUGAGAUUCAUCCAUGUUCUUGUGUCUAUCACGUCAAAGAUAAAACCAAGUCUGAGACAGAAUUAACAAAAACUGUUUAUUCAUUUACUCUUGGCAAGGGAACCCAUCUGUCAUCACUUUUGUUUCAGCAUGGGCUCAGAUGCAUUGGAAGGGAAAAUAAGUUUUAUGGAGCAAAAAGAGGAAAUACUGAGACAGCCCCUGAUUGGCAAGUAUUCUAUUAAUGUGGGAUUUGGGGAAGCGGGGAGACUUUCUCAUUGGUUUUUAGCUAUUUGGCCGUCCUUGAUUACUUGCAAGAGGGCAAGUGAGAAGUUUGGGGACAUUUCAAAAGAUGAAGGAGGGUUCAGUGUUAGGUGGAAGGUUUUCUGUGGUCAGCCAUUUCCCAGAACAAGUUGGGAUCUAUGGGUGUUUGUGUGUGGGUUUUUUGUGGUCACACAUUGGUGAUGGGCACACAAAGAUAAUGGUCUUUUGAGGGACAGCUGCCAUGGCAGGCAGUUUCUCAGUCAGUCGUUUGGUCCAUUUCAUUGCUGAAUAGUAUUUCAUUCAGCAUACUAGACCAUUGCAUAGUGAACCACAAUUCACUUAUCCAUUGAUGAAUUCUCUAGUAAUAAAAUUCAGUAUACAUCCAAGUUGUUCAGUUAAGGAGAUUCAUAUCACAAAAAGAUUCUUUGAUUAAAAUUUUUUUCCCACAGGGACCCUUUAACUAGGAAUGACCCUAGCAACAUGGAAAGUAAAUCUAUUUGCAUAAAGUCAAUUUACAUGUAAUAUAAAGAUUUUAUUUAUAUAUUGGAGUUCUAUUCCAGAAGAUCUUUGGUAAAAUUGCUUCUAAUAGUCCUGAGCUUAUUGAUACUCAUUAUACAUUCAUUUCCCCUCCUCUUUUGAGAAAAAAAAAAUUGAAAU